UAGGCUUCGAACUUUUUUCAGUACACAAUAAAAUUAUUUAACGUACGAGUGUGUGCAGGAGAUGGCGCGUGGAUGAGACGAGAGAGGACGCGAAGAGUGUCGCAGGCGGAGAAAGCACAGUCCCGCGAUUCGUGCGUUUCGCUUUCCCUCACGACUAGUGACGCACCGACUCACUGCUCAUGACACGUGCUCACCUCAGUGAUUAGGUGGUCUAUUAUUCAAGUUGAUAAAAACUUUAUCUCUAUAUUGUCUAAUGUCUAUAGCAAUAUUCUCCUUUUUUAAAAGAGUUGGACUGUGUAACUUUUUAUGAUACUCCAUCAGUAUAGUAUUU